AGAUCACCCUUUGGACAUUGCAUUAUAUUGUUCUAACAGUUUAGACUGCAAUCCAUUGGUUGAUAAAUAUGUACAUUAAAAUAAACUUCAAAAACAUCUCAUUAAAAUGUGACUCAAAGGAUUAAUCAAAACAGUACAUUUAAAAUGUUAUAAUUUAUUAGAAAACAAUUUCAUUUCUUUAAGCCCCACUUAGUGCAAGCAGAAAUACAGUGAACUAGUUUUUAAAAUUCAAUUUAAAAACGUAAUUUCCACAAUUACUUCUAUUUUGAGUAAUUAGACAUUAUAGUUGAAAAUUUCACCAUUGACAUAUUUAAUGUCAUAAAUCUAUUGUCAUUCUAUUGUACUGGACCAACUUCUCAUCAGUACAUUAACACCAACAUGAUUAUAAAUUAGAUUUUAGUUAUUAAUACCAUUUCACCAUUAUUAGUUUUUCUUCCUUGUUGUCUCAUUCUGUUGUGUCUCAAAAUACAUUAUAUGGAUGAUGAUGAUUAUGUUAAAGCAUGAAUUUUCUGAACUGUCAGAAUCAUACCCACCUACCUACAAGAUCAUUUGUGGUAGCAAAAUACAGCAGGAACUUUAUCACUUAGUUCUAAUAUAUAGUUAUAUACUUGUAUUCCUGGCUCAUUUUUGGAGAUACUAUUACCAGGGCUUUUAAGAACCCCAAAAGAAUUUUCUGCAUAUGAUCAAAUAUUGAGUCAAUUUGGGAUUUUUACAGUAUUUUAAAUUUUAUUCUACAUUCUUCAUUACCCAGUAAUGUUAAAGAGGUAAAUACAGUUUUUAUCUCAAUAUAGUAUCUUUAAAAUAUGUUCUUUUCCAUUUUCUUUUUUUUUUUAAUAAAAGUUAGCUUUUGCUGCCGUUUUCAGUGUUAUAUAUGUCCCCUUUCUUGUAAAAGAACUAAGGCAGCAAGCUUACUAUUUAUGCAUGUUUGUGAGUAUGAAUAUUUUUAUGCACAUAUGUACAAAUAGGUGUGUUCAUGGAUGACAUAUGUCAUCUUUGGAUAUCUUCUUCAAUUGCUCUUUACCUUAAUUUAAGACAAGGUAUCUCCAUGAACUAGGAGCCCACAAAUUGAGCUAGUCUGGAUGACCAGAAAGCUCUAGAGGUCCUUGUGUAUCUAUCUCUUUAGUCCUGAGAUUGCAGACAUGUAUCAUGGCUGUGCCCCAAUUUUUACUUGGUGGCUGGAUAUUCUAAAUGAGGUUUUCAUACUUUCAUACCAAUGACUAUAUUUACUGAGCUAUUUUCCCAGCUUCUAUACAGUCAUGUUGUGGGUAUUUUGUAUAUAGUAUAUUAUUACUGAUGUUAAGUCACUAAAUUAGUAUUUUCCCAGAGCUGCUUUGGUUCUGAAAACUGUGCAAGAACACAAAAUUAACAUUUAACCUAAGCAGCAAAAGCUGUCUGAUUAUGUGCUGUGCUAAUGGAUUCACACUGAUAAUUCAAAAGAUUUAGACCCAGCUCUUUUUGAACUAAGGGGAGCAAACAUUC
rnacentral:lncRNA from 1 species